rnacentral:rRNA from 1 species
GCGUGAGUGAUGAAGGCCUUAGGGUUGUAAAGCUCUUUCGGGUGGGACGAUGAUGACGGUACCACCAGAAGAAGCCCCGGCUAACUUCGUGCCAGCAGCCGCGGUAAUACGAAGGGGGCUAGCGUUGUUCGGAAUUACUGGGCGUAAAGCGCACGCAGGCGGCUCGAUAAAUUAGAAGUGAAAGCCCCGGGCUUAACCUGGGAAUUGCUUUUAAGACUGUCGGGCUAGAAUCCAGAAGAGGGUAGUGGAAUUCCGAGUGUAGAGGUGAAAUUCGU